CUACGGGGGGCACCAGUGGGGAAUAUUGCACAAUGGGGGAAACCCUGAUGCAGCGACGCCGCGUGAAGGAUGAAGGAUUUCGGUUCGUAAACUUCUAUCAGCAGGGAAGAUAGUGACUGUACCUGACUAAGAAGCCCCGGCUAACUACGUGCCAGCAGCCGCGGUAAUACGCAGGGGGCAAGCGUUAUCCGGAAUUACUGGGUGUAAAGGGUGCGUAGGCGGCUGAUUAAGCCAGAUGUGAAAGCCCGGGGCUCAACCUCGGGACUGCAUUUGGAACUGGUCGGCUAGAAUACAGGAGAGGUAAGUGGAAUUCCUAGUGUAGCGGUGAAAUGCGUAGAUAUUAGGAGGAACACCAGUGGCGAAGGCGACUUACUGGACUGUUAUUGACGCUGAGGCACGAAAGCGUGGGGAGCGAACAGGAUUAGAUACCCCUGUAGUC
rnacentral:rRNA from 1 species